rnacentral:tRNA from 1 species
GGGGCGUUAGCUCAGCCUGGUCAGAGCUGUGGGCUUUUAACCCAUGAGUCGCAGGUUCGAAUCCUGCACGCCCCA